rnacentral:rRNA from 1 species
UGCAGUCGUACGCUUCUUUUUCCACCGGAGCUUGCUCCACCGGAAAAAGAGGAGUGGCGAACGGGUGAGUAACACGUGGGUAACCUGCCCAUCAGAAGGGGAUAACACUUGGAAACAGGUGCUAAUACCGUAUAACAAUCGAAACCGCAUGGUUUUGAUUUGAAAGGCGCUUUCGGGUGUCGCUGAUGGAUGGACCCGCGGUGCAUUAGCUAGUUGGUGAGGUAACGGCUCACCAAGGCCACGAUGCAUAGCCGACCUGAGAGGGUGAUCGGCCACAUUGGGACUGAGACACGGCCCAAACUCCUACGGGAGGCAGCAGUAGGGAAUCUUCGGCAAUGGACGAAAGUCUGACCGAGCAACGCCGCGUGAGUGAAGAAGGUUUUCGGAUCGUAAAACUCUGUUGUUAGAGAAGAACAAGGAUGAGAGUAACUGUUCAUCCCUUGACGGUAUCUAACCAGAAAGCCACGGCUAACUACGUGCCAGCAGCCGCGGUAAUACGUAGGUGGCAAGCGUUGUCCGGAUUUAUUGGGCGUAAAGCGAGCGCAGGCUGUUUCUUAAGUCUGAUGUGAAAGCCCCCGGCUCAACCGGGGAGGGUCAUUGGAAACUGGGAGACUUGAGUGCAGAAGAGGAGAGUGGAAUUCCUUGUGUAGCGGUGAAAAUGCGUAGAUUUAUGGGAGGUACACCUGU